rnacentral:tRNA from 1 species
AGGGGCGUAGCCAAGUGGUAAGGCAAGGGACUUUGUCUCCCUCAUUCGCUGGUUCGAGUCCAGCCGUCCCUGCCA